AGAGUUUGAUCAUGGCUCAGAUCGAACGCUGGCGGCAUGCUUUACACAUGCAAGUCGAACGGCAGCACAGGGAGCUUGCUCCCGGGUGGCGAGUGGCGCACGGGUGAGUAAUACAUCGGAACGUGUCCUGUUGUGGGGGAUAACUGCUCGAAAGGGUGGCUAAUACCGCAUGAGACCUGAGGGUGAAAGCGGGGGAUCGUAAGACCUCGCGCAAUUGGAGCGGCCGAUGCCCGAUUAGCUAGUUGGUGAGGUAAAGGCUCACCAAGGCGACGAUCGGUAGCUGGUCUGAGAGGACGACCAGCCACACUGGGACUGAGACGCGGCCCAGACUCCUACGGGAGGCAGCA
rnacentral:rRNA from 1 species